GUGACACACAACUCCUUGUCAACUUCCAUUCCAGUCUGCUGUGUCUUACGACACCCUGGGUGUCCCCAUUCUGGACUUUAGGGACGUGGUGUCCCUGGCCCUUCAGAAGACUGACUCUGCCUUGGUCACAAGGGCCGCAUUCCUAACCACAGCCGUCACGGCAGCCUCCCGCCGGCUCUGGUGGCUGGAGCAACCACAUCGACUCUUUCCAUGCCAGUGGCAAGAUACCUGGGACUUUACCAAAUUCCCCUGAAGAAGCCAGAAAAGAAAUGAUAAAAAGAAAUGGAAAUGGUUACUUCCAGAGAAUCCAUGGAAAUGAGAUAGCACAAACAGGGGGAGCAGCAGGCAGAAGGAGAAGCAGGCUCCCCGCUGAACGGGGAGCCCGAUGCAGGGCUCAUUCCAGGACCCUGAGGCUGUGACCUGAGCUGAAGGCAGAUGCUUAACGACUGAACUACCCAGGCGCCCCUAAAUUUGACUUUUGAACCAUGUGGACAUUGUACAUAUUAAAACUGAAAAAACAAUUCCA